CGGGGCGUAGCGCAGUCCGGUAGCGCACUUGAAUGGGGUUCAAGAGGUCGCUGGUUCGAAUCCAGUCGCCCCGACCA
rnacentral:tRNA from 2 species